GUCAAGGGCACCUGUGACAUUAGGCUUCAGGACAAUACUUGACGUCGUCGGAGCAGGGACGGUCAUUUCUGCAUUCAAAUCUCGGGCAGAACGUGAUGAAUCCUAGAGAAAUGUUAUUGUUUUGUCACACCAAGAUCAAGGGUCUAGACAACCUGCCAACGAUGACACAACAUUGAGGCCUGGAGCGAGGAAAGGGUUGAGAAGCUGUCCAACGGAAGAAUACUUUUCGACCAUCAAGGUAAAUGAACUGAACACAACCAAAUCAACCAGAAAUAUUCUGAAACUCGUGUCCCAUGACAAUCGAACAAUAUUUUUUAUUCUGUGUGGAUUUCAUUAAAAAAGAACGCUCUGCUCAGUCGCCAAUUUGUUCCUGACGCUAUUUUAUGUAAUGGUAGAAGCGUAAUCAAGCAAUAUGUAACAUACCGUUUCUUGCGACUCCUGAGAAGAUGAGUCAUCCGUUACUGUCGAUGGAACAGUUGUAGGUGCACUGGAGAUCGACGUGAAAAGGUAGAAAAUGAACCCAAGAAUGAUAAUGACGUCACGGUUUCCCUGAAACAGAAAUAAAAAUAAUUUUCCGUUUACGAUCUUCCAGAUUCAGUAAACUCAAAGAUAUCCAAGUGCAUUCGUCAUUUUUUCUUCAUGGAAAUGCUUGUCUACUUUUUUAAAUGAACAUCAAUCAUCCAUUGGUUAUUGAUGAAUAACUAUCUGAAAAAACAUUCUUUGCAAAAUAUGUUAUACCAUUUUAAAAAUCUAGCAUUUUUUACGCAAUUUAAUUUACCCUUCUGAUGCUUGAACAUGAUUUAAUCCCAAGUGUGAUGUACGCGAAAUUGCGAAAGAAACGUGAAUAUUCUCAGCGAAAAUAAACAUGUGAAAAAAUAGUGUGAAUACUAGACAAUAUGAAGGUAACAUUGUGAAACCGGAAACGAGCAAUCAAGCUAUCAAAGCCACAGCGCAUACAUACCUUGAAUGUUGACAUGUUGAUCACUUUUAGUAGGAAUUCAAAUCAAUCACGGAUGCACUGUUCACUGCAACACAGCCCUUCACACACAAAUAUCCAAGUUCCGGCUUCUUGACUUUUAUAGUUCUGCGACCGCGAAUUCCCCGAAAGGUUAGCAAGGAUCGAUAACAAUUAUAAGUUAUCUGCUAAUAUCAUCAUAAUUUCGCUAAUGAAAUCGUCACUGCUCAUGGUAUUCUCCACGGAGGACAUAACAUAUAUCUAUCCCACGUGGAAUGCAGGCCCCAGUGAUGAUGAGACAUUUAUUAGUGAAAUGUUAAUUACUAUUCCGAGACGCGUACAUUAUUAUUCCUUGGACACACUUAUAAUUCAAUUGAAAUAAAUGGAAAAUCAGUAGUGGAGAACGAUCUUAUAAGAAAAUCUCCGUUUUUCGAGACCACUUAGCUGGUAAUUAACACUGGGAGUUUGUGGAAACACGUGAAGAUAUAAGAGAGGAGGUACAAAGUUCCUUCGACUCAAGUGUAACUGAGACUCGCAUCGUAAUAAGUUGCUCAGUUAGAAGAUCCUAGCAAUUUAGAGAGGUCGUUAUUCAUAAAUCAAUUACGCAGUUAAUAAAAAAAUUGAUAAAAUAUGUGGAAGUAUCUGUUGCUUCUUCUGUGUGUCUCUGGAGUGUCUAAAUCAGAAGUUAUAUCGUCAGAAUCGAAUGAAUCAACGAAUGGAACGGAUUCAUCGGAUUCACAAAAUAUCGAAACUGAAGAUCCAAUUAAUUCAACAACAGUGACAAUAAAACCACCAAAUGAAGAGGCCAAACUUCCGGUCGAUUUACUGAGCGAUGACGUCCUUCUAGACCCAAAUGUUGUUCUGGCUAGGCUGUCACGUCGAGAUUUAAGUGCUGUUGAUUCGAAGUGGUUGUAUCAACCUUAUCAGCGUAAUUGGGAUACUCGUCGUCGUCGAUACAACGGCCAGACAAAUCUUCCUGCUGAACGACCGCAGAAAUUUAAAAUCUAUCCCAUAUUCCCAGGAAAAUAAUUCGUUCAUACUGUUUUGACGAAGAAAAAUUGAAAUCCAUUUGUGAUACGUUAAUGUACUUAUGUGCAGUUAUAAGUUAUAUUAUUUUUCCUGAAUUUAUUUAAAGUGUACGUCAGGAUUACUGGGUUCGCACGACGAUUGUUAUUCAAAUACAGAAAUAUUUCUGACUUAA